UACGGAGGGUGCAAACGUUGCUCGGAAUCAUUGGGCGUAAAGCGUGUGUAGGCGGCUUUGCAAGUCGGAUGUGAAAGCCCCGGGCUCAACCCGGGAAGUGCACUCGAUACUGCAGGGCUUGAGUGUCGGAGAGGUUGGUAGAAUUCUCGGUGUAGAGGUGAAAUUCGUAGAUAUCGAGAGGAACACCGGUGGCGAAGGCGGCCUUCUGGACGAUGACUGACGCUGAGACGCGAAAGCGUGGGGAGCAAACAGG
rnacentral:rRNA from 1 species